rnacentral:tRNA from 1 species
GGGCCUGUAGUCUAAUGGUAGAAUACUCCGCUUGCACCGGAGAGACCCGUGUUCAACUCACGGCAGGUCCA